rnacentral:rRNA from 1 species
UUAAGCGACUAAGCGUACACGGUGGAUGCCUAGGCAGUCAGAGGCGAUGAAGGGCGUGCUAAUCUGCGAAAAGCGUCGGUAAGCUGAUAUGAAGCGUUAUAACCGACGAUACCCGAAUGGGGAAACCCAGUGCAAUACGUUGCACUAUCGUUAGAUGAAUACAUAGUCUAACGAGGCGAACCGGGGGAACUGAAACAUCUAAGUACCCCGAGGAAAAGAAAUCAACCGAGAUUCCCCCAGUAGCGGCGAGCGAACGGGGAGGAGCCCAGAGUCUGAAUCAGUUUGUGUGUUAGUGGAAGCGUCUGGAAAGUCGCACGGUACAGGGUGAUAGUCCCGUACACCAAAAUGCACAGGCUGUGAACUCGAUGAGUAGGGCGGGACACGUGACAUCCUGUCUGAAUAUGGGGGGACCAUCCUCCAAGGCUAAAUACUCCUGACUGACCGAUAGUGAACCAGUACCGUGAGGGAAAGGCGAAAAGAACCCCGGCGAGGGGAGUGAAAUAGAACCUGAAACCGUGUACGUACAAGCAGUGGGAGCACCUUCGUGGUGUGACUGCGUACCUUUUGUAUAAUGGGUCAGCGACUUAUAUUUUGUAGCAAGGUUAACCGAAUAGGGGAGCCGUAGGGAAACCGAGUCUUAACUGGGCGUCUAGUUGCAAGGUAUAGACCCGAAACCCGGUGAUCUAGCCAUGGGCAGGUUGAAGGUUGGGUAACACUAACUGGAGGACCGAACCGACUAAUGUUGAAAAAUUAGCGGAUGACUUGUGGCUGGGGGUGAAAGGCCAAUCAAACCGGGAGAUAGCUGGUUCUCCCCGAAAGCUAUUUAGGUAGCGCCUCGUGAACUCAUCUUCGGGGGUAGAGCACUGUUUCGGCUAGGGGGCCAUCCCGGCUUACCAAACCGAUGCAAACUCCGAAUACCGAAGAAUGUUAUCACGGGAGACACACGGCGGGUGCUAACGUCCGUCGUGAAGAGGGAAACAACCCAGACCGCCAGCUAAGGUCCCAAAGUCAUGGUUAAGUGGGAAACGAUGUGGGAAGGCACAGACAGCCAGGAUGUUGGCUUAGAAGCAGCCAUCAUUUAAAGAAAGCGUAAUAGCUCACUGGUCGAGUCGGCCUGCGCGGAAGAUAUAACGGGGCUAAACCAUGCACCGAAGCUGCGGCAGCGACGUUUAGGCGUUGUUGGGUAGGGGAGCGUUCUGUAAGCCGUUGAAGGUGACCUGUGAGGGUUGCUGGAGGUAUCAGAAGUGCGAAUGCUGACAUAAGUAACGAUAAUGCGGGUGAAAAACCCGCACGCCGGAAGACCAAGGGUUCCUGUCCAACGUUAAUCGGGGCAGGGUGAGUCGACCCCUAAGGCGAGGCUGAAAAGCGUAGUCGAUGGGAAACAGGUUAAUAUUCCUGUACUUGGUGUUACUGCGAAGGGGGGACGGAGAAGGCUAGGCUGGCCGGGCGACGGUUGUCCCGGUUUAAGCGUGUAGGGGGAGUGACCAGGUAAAUCCGGUUGCUUAUCAACCCUGAGGCGUGAUGACGAUGCACCACGGUGCAGAAGCAGUUGAUGCCAUGCUUCCAGGAAAAGCCUCUAAGCAUCAGGUAACAUUAAAUCGUACCCCAAACCGACACAGGUGGUCAGGUAGAGAAUACUCAGGCGCUUGAGAGAACUCGGGUGAAGGAACUAGGCAAAAUGGUGCCGUAACUUCGGGAGAAGGCACGCUGGCGUUAGGUGAAAGGACUAGCUCCUGGAGCUGAAGCCAGUCGCAGAUACCAGCUGGCUGCAACUGUUUAAUAAAAACACAGCACUGUGCAAACACGAAAGUGGACGUAUACAGUGUGACGCCUGCCCGGUGCUGGAAGGUUAAUUGAUGGGGUCAGCCGCGAGGCGAAGCUCUUGAUCGAAGCCCCAGUAAACGGCGGCCGUAACUAUAACGGUCCUAAGGUAGCGAAAUUCCUUGUCGGGUAAGUUCCGACCUGCACGAAUGGCGUAAUGAUGGCCAGGCUGUCUCCACCCGAGACUCAGUGAAAUUGAACUCGCUGUGAAGAUGCAGUGUACCCGCGGCAAGACGGAAAGACCCCGUGAACCUUUACUAUAGCUUGACACUGAACAUUGAGCCUUGAUGUGUAGGAUAGGUGGGAGGCCUUGAAGUGUGGACGCCAGUCUGCAUGGAGCCAACCUUGAAAUACCACCCUUUAAUGUUUGAUGUUCUAACUCGGCCCCAUGAUCUGGGGUGAGGACAGUGUCUGGUGGGUAGUUUGACUGGGGCGGUCUCCUCCCAAAGAGUAACGGAGGAGCACGAAGGUUAGCUAAUCACGGUCGGACAUCGUGAGGUUAGUGCAAAGGCAUAAGCUAGCUUGACUGCGAGAGUGACGGCUCGAGCAGGUACGAAAGUAGGUCUUAGUGAUCCGGUGGUUCUGAAUGGAAGGGCCAUCGCUCAACGGAUAAAAGGUACUCCGGGGAUAACAGGCUGAUACCGCCCAAGAGUUCAUAUCGACGGCGGUGUUUGGCACCUCGAUGUCGGCUCAUCACAUCCUGGGGCUGAAGUAGGUCCCAAGGGUAUGGCUGUUCGCCAUUUAAAGUGGUACGCGAGCUGGGUUUAGAACGUCGUGAGACAGUUCGGUCCCUAUCUGCCGUGGGCGUUGGAAGAUUGAGAGGGGCUGCUCCUAGUACGAGAGGACCGGAGUGGACGAAUCACUGGUGUUCGGGUUGUCAUGCCAAUGGCAUUGCCCGGUAGCUAAAUUCGGAAGAGAUAACCGCUGAAAGCAUCUAAGCGGGAAACUUGCCUCGAGAUGAGUCUUCCCUGGGGCUUAAAGCCCCCUGAAGGAACGUUAAAGACUAUGACGUUGAUAGGCUGGGUGUGUAAGUGCAGCGAUGUAUUGAGCUAACCAGUACUAAUGAUCCGUGAGGCUUAACCUU